GUGGUUCGCUUCGUACUAGGAUUUACUCCGAAAGCGAAGAAACUUACAACAAAGAGUCCCUCCCGACUGUUUACCAAAAACACAGCACUCUGCUAACUCGUAAGAGGAUGUAUAGGGUGUGACGCCUGCCCGGUGCUCGAAGGUUAAUUGAUGGGGUUAGCAUUAGCGAAGCUCUUGAUCGAAGCCCGAGUAAACGGCGGCCGUAACUAUAACGGUCCUAAGGUAGCGAAAUUCCUUGUCGGUUAAAUACCGACCUGCAUGAAUGGCGUAACGAGAUGGGAGCUGUCUCAAAGAGGGAUCCAGUGAAAUUGUAGUGGAGGUGAAAAUUCCUCCUACCCGCGGCAAGACGGAAAGACCCCGUGGACCUUUACUACAGCUUGACACUGCUAUUUGGAUAAGAAUGUGCAGGAUAGGUGGGAGGCUUUGAGUAAUAGACGCUAGUUUAUUAUGAGCCAUUGUUGAGAUACCACUCUUUCUUAUUUGGGUAGCUAACCAGCUUGAGUUAUCCUCAAGUGGGACAAUGUCUGGUGGGUAGUUUGACUGGGGCGGUCGCCUCCCAAAUAAUAACGGAGGCUUACAAAGGUUGGCUCAGAACGGUUGGAAAUCGUUCGUAGAGUAUAAAGGUAUAAGCCAGCUUAACUGCAAGACAUACAAGUCAAGCAGAGACGAAAGUCGGUCUUAGUGAUCCGGUGGUUCUGUGUGGAAGGGCCAUCGCUCAAAGGAUAAAAGGUACCCCGGGGAUAACAGGCUGAUCUCCCCCAAGAGCUCACAUCGACGGGGAGGUUUGGCACCUCGAUGUCGGCUCAUCGCAUCCUGGGGCUGGAGCAGG
rnacentral:rRNA from 1 species